rnacentral:rRNA from 1 species
UACGGAGGGGGCGAGCGUUAUUCGGAAUCAUUGGGCGUAAAGGGCGCGUAGGCGGCCCCGUAAGUCUUGGGUGAAAGCCCUCGGCUCAACCGAGGAAUUGCCUUGGAUACUGCGGGGCUCGAGGCUGGAAGAGGGCAGUGGAAUUCCCGGUGUAGCGGUGAAAUGCGCAGAUAUCAGGAAGAACACCCGUGGCUAAGGCGGUUCUCUAGUACGGUACUGACGCUGAGACGCGAAAGCGUGGGGAGCGAACAGG